rnacentral:lncRNA from 1 species
AUGGCCAUAACCAAGUCAAUAGUCAUGUUCUACACAACCACUCUCCCGUUACCAACACCACCCUCUUAACCUUCCCCACCAUUCCACCAGCUGCUGCACAACCCCUUCUGAUUCCUCCACCAAUGCACCCCCUCACCACCACCACCACCUCUUUCCUUCUCACCCUCUUUCUCUCCCUCCACUUAACGACAUCGCUCCCUUCCAAUGACAUUAGUAAUCUUUCAAACUGUAAUCAAAACUUCUCCUGUGGUGACCUCACAAACGUCACCUACCCCUUCACUGGUGGCCUACGUCCAUCCCACUGCGGCCCACCGGAGUUCGGCCUCACAUGUGAGGAUGAAUCAGUCACCAUCCUAAAAGCUAACUCACUGAGUUACCGAGUCACUCAUCUUGACCAGACCAGCCAAACCUUAAGACUCUCACGUUCAGACCUCUACGACGACGGAAAAUGCACCCGCCAAUUCACUAACACCACUCUGGAUGACAGAAUCUUCAGUCUUGGUUCCAGCCAUGAACUUUAUUUGUUUUAUGGAUGCAAGAAGAUUAACGACUCUGUCAUGGGAUCAGAUCAGCUACCAAAAAUCUCUAGGUUCUCUUGUGACUAUCAUGGAGUUACAGAAGAAGGGUUUUUCUCAAUUGUUUACCCUUACGGUACUGAAUAUUCUUUUCCGAAUACGUUUGAGUGUCAAACUACUAUUCGAGUGCCAAUUCCUAGUACUCGGGCACAACAGCUUUUUGAUAACGAGUCAGUAGUUGGUGAGGUUUUGAAAGAAGGGUUUGAUGUCAGUUAUAGCAAUCCUUACAGUGCUAAUUGUACAGAGUGUUACAAGGAGCACCCUGGUGGGUAUUGCGGGUUUGAUACACAGUUGGGUAAACCUAUUUGCAUUUGUAAUGAUAAGCUCUGUCCUGGUAAGCAAAAAUCUUUAGUUUUCAUGAGUUUGUUUGGUGAACCUUAUUGGGGAAAUUGAUGAGAGGAGGUUCUUAACAAAUUAUAUAAUGCUUCACUGAUUUCAAGAAUUGAUGAGAGGAGGUUCAAUGUUCAAAACUAGGCUUUUUUGAUUGAGUCUUGUGUUCACUCUGCCCCUUUAAGGCCAAUGAGGUCAUAAUUUGGAUUCAACAAUAUGAUAAAUUUCUUGUUAGUGAGAUGUUAAGCAAAUCUUGCUUAAGCUAAGAGAAAUGUUUUUCACUAAUUAAUGCUUAUUUCUAUCGUAGUUUUGUUCAGUGAUAGGGAAAAAAACUGAACAGUUCAGUUAGUCAUAGUUUUCCCCCUGUUUUUUCCCUGCCUGUUUUGCUGCUUUCUCCAACGUUGACUAGCUUCCUUUACCGUGGCAGGUUGUUUAGGCCAAUGGCCUGUUUGUCUUUAAUCUGAAAGAAUUCAUGAAUUAGUUUGCAUUUAACAAAUAAUAGUUGAGAUAGCCACUAUCAUAUUUUACAAGUUUCUGAUUAGCUGAUCAUGCCUUCUAAGUAAGUCCCUGGUGAAAAUUUGUUCUAGUGUAGUCUUUGUUCUCAACUGAUGUUUCUUGCUCUCAUGAUUUAUGCAGAGAAGAAGACUAAGGAUCGGACACUUGUAAUAGGUACUAUUCGGCUACAUAUACUGUGUUAAAUCAACAUUGAAAAGAAAAGCUGAGCUGUUUUUUUCUUUUCUUUCUUUUCCAGGACUUAGCACAGCAGGUGCAGUCGUUAUUGGUAUCUUUUUUGGAUGCUGGGUCUUGUUUGUCGUACAACGAAGGAAAAGAAAAUCUGCCCAGGUGAAAAGCAAAGGCCUGCCUGUAGCUACACCUCCUUCAAGCAAAGGCCUUACUACUUCAACUAAUCUCUCUCAAGCCACUACUUCUCUUACCUCCUCAAAGUCAUACCUUGAAAAGGGCAGUACCUACUUUGGAGUGCCGGUGUUCAGCUACAGUGAACUUGAGGAAGCCACUAAUUGUUUCGAUCCUUCUAAGGAACUUGGAGAUGGAGGGUUUGGCACUGUUUACCAUGGUUAGAAGAUGACAUGAUAUCAUUUGCAGUAUAGCAACUUGCACAAAUUAACAUUAACUGCUUUGUUGUCUCCUUUCUCAAUUUUUAUUAUGAUUGCUUGACUCAUCAGGUGUACUCAAGGAUGGACGUGUGGUUGCUGUCAAGCGCCUUUAUGAGAACAACAUGAGACGUGCUGAGCAGUUUAUGAAUGAAAUUGAGAUCCUAGCUCAUCUACGGCACAAGAACCUGGUGAUACUUUAUGGAUGCACCACAAGGCACAGCCAUGAGCUUCUACUUGUUUAUGAGUACAUUCCAAACGGAACGGUUGCUGAUCAUCUUCAUGGAAGACAGUCGAACUCUGGUUUGCUCACAUGGCCUGUUCGGUUGAGCAUUGCUAUAGAGACAGCCAGUGCUCUCGCAUACCUCCACACUUCAGAUGUCAUACACCGUGAUGUCAAAACCACUAACAUUCUCCUAGACAAUGACUUCCAUGUGAAAGUGGCUGAUUUUGGUUUGUCGAGAUUGUUCCCAAAUGAUGUCACGCAUGUGUCGACUGCUCCACAGGGAACACCGGGAUACGUUGAUCCGGAGUAUUAUCAAUGCUACCAACUCACCAACAAGAGUGAUGUUUACAGCUUUGGUGUAGUCUUGAUUGAGCUGAUAUCAUCUUUACAAGCAGUGGACACCAAUAGGCAUCGGCACGAUAUUAAUCUGUCCAACAUGGCAGUCAACAAAAUCCAAAAUCAUGCUUUAAAUGAGUUGGUUGAUCCAUUUCUUGGAUUCGAUAAGGAUAUCGUAGUGAGAAGGAUGGUAACAUCAGUUGCAGAAUUAGCUUUCCGGUGUUUGCAACAAGAUAGAGAAAUGAGGCCAGCUAUGGAAGAAGUAUUGGAGGCAUUAAAAAGAAUCGAGAAGGAAAACUAUGGAGCAGGGAAUGCAGAAGUAUUGGAUAUUAGGGAUGAUGAUGUCGGGUUACUGAAGCAUGCUCCUCCCCCAGUUCAACUUUCACCGGACUCCUUGUCUGAUCCAUUUUGGGCCGACAGUUCUUCAACCAUAACCCCACAUUCCUACUAGCAGUUGAGAUUUCCUCAUCCUUUUCACCUUUAAAUUCCAGUUUUUGUACCAUCAAUUAUCAGAUAUCAAUGAGUUUUGAGUUCUACUAUCUUUCACUUCUUGUUGAUUUGUUGUUUACACACAAAAACAAAUGCGGUCCACAUCUCUGUAGAAGCUGCAUUUUGAGCCAAGCCAUCAAGCACAAUUAUUGCUCUUACAUGGGGUGAAUUUAUAAAAUGCUGCUAUGAUGUUUGCUAAAGUUCAAAUGUUUGAAUGAAGAUUUCGUUUUCAAUAAGUUAGAAUGCAUUACUUACAACCGUUUUAAAAGUCGUUGUUUCUUCUGUUACAGAUGGUAAAGGGCGAGAGAACAGUUUGGCUGAGUUCCUGCGAGCUAGGAUGGCUAUCUGUUCCAGUUCAACCUCGCCUGUCAAAUGAGGCGUUUGCUCGACUUUGGUGGCAAAAAUCUUGCGCCAUGACUCCAGCAAGAUUUGCUACUGUCCUCCCUGUAUAGUACCGGAAAGCAUCAAGGAUCCGGCGAGAGACUCUCUCAACGGGACUAGAUACCAAACGAUGAUUUGGGAUGCUUUUGUUGAUACAUGGGAAUUCUGAAGUAUAUUUUGGAGACUUGGUUUUUAAUUUUGAUUUUGUAAAUACGAGUAACGAAGUCUAAAUAAUUUAACACUUCAUGAAAGAUGUCUGUCUACUCCCUAUUCUCUGCUUGAUCCAGACUCCUGUAUCCUGGCAAACCCAAAAAAAAAAAAUGUCAUAAUUAGAUAAUUGCACAUACAAGUAAAAAAAAAAAAAAAAGAACUAUACUUUGCAUUUGAUCUGGACAAAGUAUCCUUGAAUCAGCUUUUUAUUUUUUUUUAAAUAAAAAAAUAAUAAUUUCACAUCUAGAUCUUAUAUUCACCAAAAACAUUUUCAUGCACCCUCCUAUCUUGCACCACAGCAAAAGCUUUACUAUUGUUGAACUUGUUUUAGCAUAACCACCACUGAUUCUUUAAUCCAACUAGGUGUAUUUUUAAUAUUAUAAUAGUUUUUUUUUAGUUAUGGUUUUAAAAAAAUAAAUUUUUAAAAAAUAUUUUUUAAUUAUAAUUUAAAAAAAUUAAGUAUUUGGUUAAAAAUGCUAUGAAAUAUAUUUUUGAAUGUAAAAUAAUUGAAAAGUAUAUUUUCAUAAAUAAAAAAUAUGUUAUUUUAAUUUUUACAAAACCAAGGUUUGAUUUAUAAUUAUAUAAAAAAUAUAAUGAAAAAAAACAAAAUAUUUAACUAACUAAACAAUUUCUUUCUCUUAGGAGAUAAAAAUAAAAGCUACGGAAUGUCAAUUCAUUUCUAAAAAAGCAUGCUAUUCUAAAAAUAAUCAUGAAAAUCAUUAUAACAUUGGACUUGACCAUACGUGGAAUGGAAGGACAAAACCGACAAUUCAUUUUUUCUCUACAUAAGACAACCAAUAUUAUUAUUAUUAUUAUUAUUAUUAUUAUUAAUAUUAUUAUGAAGACAUAAACUUUGUACCUAGCCACAUUAGAUUAGAUCAUACUAGGUAGUCUAUCACGUGCAAUUUCCGUUACCAGACCUCAUUACUCAUUAGUCAUCGCCUCAAACCCUCUUGAAACAAAGACACAAAUCCAUUUCUCACACUGUACUCCUUGGACUCGUUCACUUGCGUCGGUUCCAUAAUCCCAAACCUCCCACUCUCCUCCACUUGUCACCACAUAACCAUCACCACCCCUUCGAAUCCAAACACCAGAAAAAUUAAAACAACCCCUCUCCCCUUCUUCUCCUCCACAAGAUCAAAUCAAAAGGAAACCCAGAUGGGUUUUGAAUCUCAAUAGAUCUCAGAGCUGUUGAGAGAGAGAAGUCUUGGGGUUUUCUUGCUUUUCUUGAUUAAUGGCGACGCUGCAAAAAUUCAAGCUAUUAGCCACGCAAUGUGCAGUAGCUACACCAACACAAAGUCCAACGACAAGUCCGGUUUUUCACAUCCGCCGCAGGAGGAAGACUCUUCGGAUGCUACUCUCGAAGAAAUCCGAUGCUCGCUGGAGGGCUCCCCGGCGAGAAGAUCAAUCGGAGGUGGAGGAAGAUCCGUUGCCCGAGAAGGGGGUGAGGAGGAAAUUGAAGGAUUUGUUUGUGUCUUCCCCGCCCUUUGAGCAGGAGAGGAGGGGUGGCGAGCGUGGUGGUGGUGAGGAGGUGGGGUUGAUUAGUGGCGGCGGAGCCGCGUUGAGAAGAGGUGGCGGUGUCGGCGCGUUGAGACCGGUGGCGGCGACGUUUAGAUAUAGAUUGUUAAGGAGAGCUUGGAGACCUGUAUUAGUUACUAUCCCCGAAUAAUUCUUACCGAUAAAUGGAAAUAUUUUUGUUUCUUUUUUUAAUUCUGUGAAGUAAUUGUUUAUCUCCUUUGUCAAUUACAUAUUUUUUCCGGUGUUUUAAUGAUGCUAGAAGCUAUUGAUUCUCAAAGAAGAUGAUGGUAGAUUUUUAGAGAAAUUAACAAAAAAAUAUAGUUGUAUUAGUAAAUUAAUGGUCUUUUACUCGUAGUCUCAAGAACACAUUGAAAUUAAAUUCAGCUUUUAGCCUGGUCUAAAGUUGAUUAUUCUUGCUGAAAAUUCCGUGAGAGAAUGCCAAUUGGGAGUGGUAAUCUUUGAACUUGAUUUGAACACAAUAGUAAGACUGCAAAUUGAUUUGAGUUUUGUUUUACUCGUUGCAUUAUGUGCUUAUAAGUCAAGAAAGGGUACUGCAAUUUUAAAAUAUGGUUUGAAUGGUAAAUGGAUUUGUUCAUGUUUUUAUUUCAAAUUACGUUUAGGGGAUUAUAAGAAAAAUAAGUUUAAUAUAAAUAUAUUCAUGAUGAUCAUUUUUUAUUCGGUUUUUAUCAAAAAAAAUAAUUAAACUGAAUUUUUUUAAAAAAAAAAAACCAAAACUGGUUCAAAUCGAUCGGUUUCAGUUCGGUUUGUUUCUUGGAUAAAAACCGGUUUAAAUCAGUUUGGCUCAGUUUUUUCAGUUAGCUCGAUUUUUUUCGAUUUGGCUCGGUUUUUUCGAUUAAUUUUUUUCUAGUUUUCUCGAUUUAAUAUUUUUUCAGUUUUUUUCUUAUCCCUAAAUGCAUCAAUAUGAAUGUAAUUGUGCUUGAUAUUGACAUAUGAAAAAAAGAAUGAUUUCAAGUUAUAAAUAUAACAAAUCCUAAUACAAAAAAUAAUAAAAAUCUUAACUAUUAAACUAGGAAAACAAAAUAUAUUGGCCUAUUUAACAUAUUAAAUUAAAUUAAAUUCAAAGAAUCUCAAUGAACUCACAAGCUAAACAAUGAAAAUAGAAAUGGAAAGACAAACAAAGCGUAUGUUAGCAGGAGUGGCGCAUUUUAUCAUAGGGUGACAAGGAGAUGAUGGCAGAGGGAAGGGUCAAGGGAAUGCUUUUUGUUAGCUACAUAAUUAUUUGUAUAAAUAUUUUUUUGUUAUUUAUACGAGAGAGACGAAGAUUCCAAUGAAUGGAUUGAUUUGUCGAAGAGUUUUUGUUGUCAAGGUGGGGUAGAGCACUGAAGGUGCUACAGAUUAUGUAGACAGAGAUACGGAGGAAUUAAUAAUUCUUAGUAUAAAGUCUCUGUCUACGGCAGCUACCUUUGUGUUGAUGUUAUAUAAUUAUAUCAAUAAAUUGUUUGAUGAAGAGUUGUGUGCCUUUCAAUUAUUUGUAGACCCAUGGUGGAAAUGUGGAUCAUACAUGCAUCGUCAUUAUUUGAUGUUGAUUUAUACUUGAACACGUUGAGGAUUAAUUGCUUCAUUGGGAGUGGAGGUAGAGACGGUGUUUUGAGGUGUUUUUUUUAUUUGAAAAUAUAUUAAAAUAAUAUUAUUUUUAUAUUUAUAUUAACACAUCAAAAUAAUUCAAAAAUACUAUCAAAUUGAUUUGAAGUAAAAAAUAAAUUUUAAAAAAUGAUGAAAAAUGAGAUAUAGGUACCAAAGUGAGUUUGUAAAUAAAUUUUAGGAUUUGAAAUGUACAUUAGUUAAAUAUUUCAUAAUAUGAGCAGCUAACACGUGUCAUUAUUUAAUGAUAUUAGUUACAUCAACUAAUGGAAGGACCUUAAAACGACAAAAAUAUAAUGUACAUAGAUAUCUCAAGACAAAAAAAAAAAUAGUUAAAGGACCUUUUAAACACAAAAAAAAAAAAAAGUAUAGGGAUGGGCAACAUUGUUACCCCCGUGUCUAGUGUUGUCCGAUUCGAUUGAGUGAAUUUUUUUCCUUGUCUGAUUAGUAUUUAUUUAAAAAAUAUUGUGCGUGUGUGUGUGGAUUUGUAUUUUGACCAGAGAAAAGAGAAAAAAAUAUUAAUAAUACGCCUUUGAAGUUUGAACUGCUAACUCCAGCAGCCGGGGAAAAAAAAGAAAAAAAAAAGGAAAAAAAAGCAUGGAAUGGAGUUGAAGUUAGAAGCAUGUUCGUUAUUGUGGCAGCAGCCUCCAUUAUUUAAGGGCAGUUUGGAGACCCUGAAGAUCCAGUUUGCUCCAAAGUGAUAACAGCUUGCUUUGGAGCUCGGCCUAAAGAACCUUGCUUCCCUAAUCAAGUAGGUUAUCUUUGCUUGUCAUCAUUUUGAUUCAUUUUCUUUGUGUAUUUUUUUUAUUAUUUUAAUUUUAGUAUAUUAGCUAUUGAGUGAUUGGAUUGAGAUCUCAUUAUCAAUAUUCAAUAAGAAAAACCAUCUUUUUCAAUCACCAAAUCAUCUCAAAAUAUUAUGCAAAUAACAUUCCAUUAUGAAAACCACUUUUAACUUUAAAUUCAAACAUUAAAUUUUUAUUUUUAUUUUUAAAAUCCAAAAUUUUUUAGAUCUAAGACUCACAAAUCCAGUAUUGAUAGUAAUAAAGAUGGGAGCAGAAGAAAGCAAUUAAAUAAAGGACACAUAAUAUUUUAAUAGAUAAAAAAAAGCUGCAGAGCUUUAAAUUCAUAAGUUUAUCUUUUCUAAAAUAAUAAUAAUAAAGCAUGCAUUCUUAAAAGGUUUACAAUCCUUAAAUAGGCUAAAAACUCUACAUAGAGAACAAAAAUAAAAAUUCAAGAUUACCAAAAAAAAAAAAAAGUAUAAAAUCCAAAAUAAGCAAGAAAUCCAAAAAAAAAAAUGAAAAUAAAAAAACUGUCAAAACUAGAGGGUCUAUGCGAGAUUUUGAUGUCUAAAAAUUUGACAAUUCGUGUAGCGACACAAUGACUAUUAUAGAGAAAAUAGCCUCUGAAAACCCUUAUAAAAAAAUUAAGCGUGAUUCAACAGUUGAAUAAAAAAAUUAUGGUCUUUUUGAGCUAUUAUUUUGUUUUGGCACAAACAAACCUACUCUUGAACCUUAACUUGUCCCACUGAUCUAUAAAUAUAUCUACUAGAUAAUUUAUGUAAUAUAUUCAUGACAGAUCUUUAUUUAGUUAUAAUAAAUUUACAUCUAACUACUCAAAAUUAUUUGUUAUUACAAGCUUGAUUAUAUAUAUAUAUAUAUUUGAAAAUUAGAUGCGGAUAAAAUUGUAACGAUGCAAGCUUUUAUUUAAAAGUAGUGCAGCUAGCAAUAAUGGCCAAAACCUGAUCAAAAGGAUCCUAAACCAAAUACUUACUGAUUCAAAUACUAAAAUUAAUGAAAAAGGAAAAAAGAAAUGUUAAUAAAAAAAAAUGGCACUCCAUUUCAUUGUUAAAUUUGCUGGAUUCGAAGUAGAUUUUGUGUCAACGGAAGCAUGACGUUCAGAUGCUCCUCUUUUCUGUUGUCCUCUGGUUGACUUUCAAAUUCUCUUGUUUUCAAUUCUUUGACACCGUCCAUAGGAAAUUGGCGCGGUUGGUUUUACGUCCAAAUAGCCUUUAGGGUACGCUAUUGACUAUUGAGUAUUGAAUGCCUGAAAAUUAUCGACCAAACUAGAUAAUAAAUAUGCAUGAUUCCUUGUAUUUAUGUUAUGUUAGAAUCAAUUAUGAUCUAUAUCUUUGUUGGUUAGAAAGAAACUAGAUUUGUAUACCUGCACUAUACUGUGAGAUCAAUUUUUUUUAAUAUUAAAACUAAUGUCCAUACACUGCAAACACUUUUUAAAGAUGAGAAAAUAAUUUGAUUAAAUAAAUUAAUUUUAUCUUAAUUAGAUUAUAAAAAACAACGAAAACAAGUGAACCAAAAAAAAUAUGAUCAUGAUGACUCGAAUGAAAUUUUUUUUUAAAAAAAAAACAAUGUAGAUCAAUUCUUAGUCAAUUAAAUACAGAAGAACAGAAGUAGAUUUUAAAGAAUGAAACCGAAAAAAGAUUAAAAUUUCUUUUUUUUAAAGCGAGCCUAUAAAAAAAGUCAAGCUAACCCAGGUAAACAUGUCAAACUCGCAAUUUAAGUAAUAAGAUUGAGAUAACCUGAUAGAAAAAAAAAAUCAAAUUGCCUACAUUUUGAAAAGAAAAAAAACCAAUAUCGAAUGAAGGAAUAAAAAAAAAAUAAGUCCAAGAAAAAAAAUGAAAACACAAUGUCAACACAUGUUAACUUUCCAAAUUUGUGACAGGGGGGUCAUUAGAUUAAAAACACCCCACCUGAAAAAAUCAUGAAAUUCAAUCUCGAACCAAUCAAAUAUUAAAGAAUGGAAUUAGAAAUAGAUCAAAAUUUUACAAAAAAGUCAAGAAUAAAAAUUAAAAAUUAAAAGAAUAAAUACUGAAGUUGAAAUCUCAGUAAAUAAGAGAACAACUUGCAUGAUUAGUGCAAAUUUCAAGGAAAAAAGAGAGAAAAGAGAAAGAAAAAAAAAAGCGUCACCUACAACAAAAUGCAUCACCACCAACCAUACACGUUGCCCUAAUAGAAAAAAGAUACUGUUAAAAUUCCAACGACAUGACAAAAUGGUAUUUUCGGUUACUGCGAAACUUCGCACACGCCGCACAAAGAGCACAGAUGCCUCUCAUGUACCAACUAUUUUUUAUUUUUUUAAUUAUAUUUUAUAUUUAUUAAGAUACUAAAUUACCCCUUAUCCAACCUAAUUAUCACAAAAAAAAAAAAUCACUAUCAAAAGAUAAAAGUGCCCGCCAGUUUAAAAUUUUUUUCCUGAAAAAUUUAUUUGGUCCGAUGAACAAAAGAGAUGUACAGUUUCUUAUAGAGCAAAUCCAAGGCUUUGAAGCCCAUAUUUACAAAUCCAAAAUCUUCUUCCAGGGCCUUUUAAAGUUAAGGGCUUUUCUGAUUUGCUGUUGGUUACUAAAGCCCAAAAGGGGGCUCCAUGAAACUAAUUUGAGAUUCAAAACCCGGCCAUGAAUUCAAUUUACCUUCCCCUAUUUUUUUUUUCAUGAUUAGUGGUGUAUUCUAGGCAGUUUAGUGAGACGAAAUUCCGUUUUUUGAGUGAUGUUAAGAACAAUACACUCAUAUUUUCAUAAUACAUUCAAUUUGAGAAAUCAAAAAAGAAAAUACACUUAAUUCUUAAUAAUCCAUUUUUUUCUUAAUAAUGUUACAACAUAAACACAAUAACACUUGCAGCCAUUAAUUACCAUACAAAUCAUAGGACAAUAUAUUCCGACUUGAAGCUACAUAUCUUUCUCUAAAAGAAAAAAAAAAUCCACAUGAAAAAAACUAGCAUAAUGAAAAAAAUAAAAGAAAAACUUGUGUCUAAAUAGAUUAUAAAGCCGAAUUCCCGAUCGACCUAAUAUUAAAAAAAUAAAAUGUUGAAGGAUAUGAGACCACGAUAGCCUCUUAGAAAUAAAAUUAAAAAAAUGACCUGAUUUAACCAGGGUUAAAACACCAAAACUCGUGACUUUGAUUUUGAGACCAAGAUAUUCUCAUAUAAAAUAAAUCAAAACAGAUUAUAAAACUGAAUUCCCAACCGACCCAAUAUUAAACGAUAAUUUUUUAAAAAAACAAGUUUAAUAAAAAAAUACAAAAAAUAACUCGAGUGAACUCAGGUUAGCUUGUUAAGCAUUAUUGUGGGGGUAAUGAGACCGAAAUAAAUUAAUAGAAAUCAAAUAAAACAAAUCACGAAAUCUAAUUUCUAAUUAACUCAAUACUAAAAGAUAAAAUUGAAAAAAAAGAGUUAAAUAUGAAAAAAAAACCCUAGCUAACAGGGUUAACUCGCUAAACCAGCGAUCCAUGUCACGAAAAUAGGACAACCCAAUAAAAAAACAAAAUUAAUAUUAAGGGAUAAAUUAAAAAAAAACAUUAAUUAAAAAAAAUAUUAUAAAUAAAAAACAAAAACAAAUGUUUUCUAGGGCUGCACGGAAAAGAUUUAUCCAUAAAAAUAUUAUUUAUAGCUGCAAUACUUUUCCACUUGUUUUAGUUAAUUGUAAUUAAUUAAUUAAUAAUAACAACAACAACAAUAAUUAUAAUAAUAAUUAGAAUGAAAUGGUGAAGAAAAUGACUCUUGAAUCCAGCUUGUAUUGAUUUGUUGCCUUGAAUAGCCUUAUUAAAGCCACGAGCAUGAUCCCCAGAUAGAUAGGCUUAGGGGCUUUUCCGAUGAAAGCAUAUGAAAAGACUUUUUAACGAAAAAUUAUGGAUUUUCAAGAGAAAAAUGGACUCUAGGGAAAUGGAACGUUACCUUUUCUAGUUUGGUUCCUGUCCUUUUCUUUCCCCCAACAAACUUCAGAAUUCUGGGCCAAAAAUAAAUAAAAAAUUGUGAAAAUUCAAUCGAGAAAACAACCACUUGAUUUAUUUUUAACCAAAUAUCUUUUUUUUUUUUUUAUCUUUUUUAAUUACCUCCUUGAUAUUAAGAAAUGAACCAAAUGCAAUCCAAAUCCAAACAAUCAAAUAAAAAAAUAAUAUUUAGUCCAACUGUUUAAUGAAAAGGAAAAAAGAAAAAUCCACCUAGUUAUUAUUGUUAACGUGACAGUAACUAAAUAAUGUUAAAUCACGCGUUAUGGUUAGCGCGUGGGGUCCUUCUUUCUGCUCUUUAAUCUUUAAACGACACGUCCUCUUUUGCCCACCACAGUUCCACUACAAGAACAGAAGGGGUCCAUAAUGUGUUCAUAUGUCUUACGUACGUCAUUACAGGACCACCACCAACGUUAUGAAAAUUAAAUACCUCCUUCUUAUAGAAAAAUUUAAAAAAAUUUAAAACCUCCUGCCACGCAUCCGAAGAAGAAACCCACCUUGAAAUCACAGUCCACACAUCAGCAUUUUCCAAGCAUGUACACGUCAGAUGAUAUUUUUUUAUUAGAAUAUUAAAAACUUUAAAAAAUAUAUAAAAAAUAUUAAUUUAUUCUUUUUCAUGCAAAAAAUAACUUAAAAUACAUAAGCUAUCGUAAUGCCAGCAAGCCUUUUACACUAUGAAAAGAACCAUAUAAUUUCAACUGUAUUUUGAUAAUCUAAUUUCAAGUCACAUGCACAUGCAUAGAUAUUAAAAUCAUCUAAUUUCAAGUCACAUGGCAUGAGUUCAAGAUUACAUAUCAUAAUCCAGAUGAAUUGAAUUAUUUUAAAAAAAUUAAAAUAAUAUCAUUUUAUUUUUUUUUAAAAGUAAACAUAUUUUUUUAUCUACUCAAACAAUUUACAAGUUGAUUAGUCAAGGCAAUCAAGUUAACUUUUGGGUUGAUCUUUUUUUGACACCUAACCCAAGCUAGGAGAUGGGUCAUUCAAAUCCCAAAUCUACUCAUCAGGUCAAAUUGAGUUUCAUAACAAUGAUCAUACGUGUUAAACUCAUAAGAUGUUUGAGAUCAUAGUUGGAAUGUACUUCUAAAUUUUUUGAUUUUUUUAGUUUUAAAUUAUUUUUUUGUAUUUUUAGAUCAUUUUAACAUGCUGAUAUCAAAAAUAAAUUUUAAUAAAUAAAUAAAAUAUUAUUUUAAUAUAUUAAAAAAAACACUUUCAAAAACAACUUUACUUUACUCUAAAACAGUCAAUUACAUGUCGGUAGACUAUAAUGGCAAAAGUAGAAAUAACUUCCUAGGCUAUCAAACCAAUUCGAUUAGAGUAAUGAAUUUUAUCUUUAGUCUCAAGAUUAAAAGUUAGUUUGACAUGGAUAAGAUUUCCCGAUGCUUUAUAUAUAUAUAUAUAUAUAUAUAUAUAUAUAUAUAAUAUUAAAUGUUAUUGUGUUAAAUAACAUACACAAAUGAAAAAAAAAACAUUUUAACAUUUAAAAAUCCAAAAUGAAAAGCUUUAUAAUGAAACUUAUAAAUUAUUGAAUCUCGUGAAGGUCAUUUUAACAUAAUAAUAUAUCGUCGAACACAUGGCAUGCUCUCAAUUAUAAUUUGUUACACGCUGUCGAGAGACAAACCUAAAAAAUCCCGAGUCAUUGGAUUAACUUAUGUCUCAUUAAGUUAAUUAUUUUACUAAAACAUCCUUGAUUCUUUUUCCUUUUUAAAAUUUUUAGUACUACGUUUAAGUCAACGUAGUUUUAUUGUCAAGUUAACGUAGUUUUAUUGUAUUAAUAUUUUUUUAUUUAAUUUAAAAUUGAUUUUUUUUAUUGUCAAGUCGACAUAGUUUUAUUGAAUUAAUAUUCAAGUCAAUGUUAAUUUUAAAUUAUAGAUUUUUUUGAGUUAGAAUGUACUUGUAAAUGCGUGUGAUAAUUUUAUUUUAAUGUUUUUUAUUUAAAAAUAUAUUAAAAUAAUAUAUAUUUUUAUUUUUUAAAAGUUAUUUUGAUACAUAUCAAAUAAUUUAAAAAUAUUAAUUUUAAAUAAAAAAAAUUCAAAUUUUUAAAAACAUCAUAAUAUUUUUUCAAACUUAAAUCAAAUUAUGUUUAAUAACUAUAGUCCCAACUCCCAACUACACCUAAUCCCUACGCCAAAACAAUAUAACUACAACUAUACCAUUUGGAACCAAAUGGAUGGAAGGUGCAUGACAUGAUGCUUGGAGAGUCCCUCACACAACCAAAACCCAAUGAACCACAAAGGCACAAGGUACCCCCAACUUCCCCUUACUAUAGUUGUCUUGAAGCAGUGUCCAUGUGCAGUAGUUUAAACUAUAGAUUUUGCUUGCUUUCCUGUCCAAAGUAAAAGGAAAGAGCUCCCCUUUCUCACUUCCCUUCCUCUUGAUAACAAGUCGCCGUCGGGCGACAAUUUCCAACCCCUCUCUUCCUAACUAAGCUGAAAGCUAUAACUUCAAGCGUUUUCAUAAUACCUUGGAUUCCUUCUCCCCACCCCACGCGCCACUCUCCCCACCCCACGCGCCGCCACCACUUCUCUAAUCUGAUAAGAUCUGAACAAGGGUUCCCUUUUUAUGAAUCCAAAGCAUCUGAUGAUAGGGAAGAUAAUAACAACAACAUGGGCGGAGUCACUUCAACAAUUGCCGCGAAGUUCGCUUUCUUCCCACCAAACCCUGCUUCUUAUACGGUGGUAACUGAUGACUCUUCCUCCGCCGUGUCUGGCGGCUCCACCACAAGGCUGUAUAUACCCGAGGUGCCGAGGAAGGAUGACGUGGAUGUGCUGAAGUUGAGGACUCGGCGUGGAAAUGAAAUCGUGGCUGUUCAUAUUAAACAUCCAAGAGCUUCAGCUACUUUGUUGUAUUCUCAUGGAAAUGCUGCUGAUUUGGGUCAAAUGUUUGAGCUUUUUGUUGAAUUGAGUAAUCGCCUUCGCAUUAAUCUUAUGGGGUUAGAUCCUUAACUCUUUACCUUUUGAAGUAUUUUUUUUUAAAUAUUAUUGUUUGGUUUGGUUUAGUUUUUUUAGUUCUACUAAUUGAAAGUAUGGAACUUUAUGAGUGUUGGUUUGGUUGAUUUGGUGGGCUGGUGCAUUUUUAUUGGACUUAUUGCUCUAGUGUAAUUUAUUGAUUAAGCGUAUGGGAGAGGCUUUCCAUGUAUAGUUUUGGAGUUUGAUGGAGAAAAGGUCUGGUUUUUAAUGUUUAUUGUUGAGUUUGAGGGUUGGCUCUUUAGUAGUGAACUUUGUGGUUGCGACAAGGAAGUAACGUAUGACUGUGGUGAGGGUAACGUUUACUCAACUGGUAUUGAGAGUGAGUUUGGGAACUCUAAUGGUGGAAAGAGAGGUUUAGGUGUGGGUUUUUUUGGCUACAAGUCUGCAAUUUCCAUUUUGAGUAUUACCCAUUUGUUGGGAUUUGGGAGAGUUUGUUGAAAAUUAAAUACUAGGUUUAGCAAGGAUGGAAGCCAAGUUAUCGUUAGGGCAGUUGCAAACCCUGAAGUGAAUUGGGUCAGUCUUUAAUGUAGAUAUGCCUUUUUUCUGUCUUCUCUUGAAUCCGGUGAUACAGAAUCACUGCUCUCACUGGCAUAUCUGAAAUAGAAUGAUGUUCAUGGCCGUAUGAAUGGUCUUUAAAGGUAGAUUUUAGGUUUUAACUUGACAUGGUUUAGUUUCAAAAUCACCAUUGGAAUGGUUUUUAUGUUUCAGGAUACGCCUUACAGAAGCAAUGUAGAAGUUAUGGUAUUUACUUGGCUACGCUACAUGAUAACUAGUGUACUUGUUCCUGUUGUAAUAUAAUGGAGAAAUAUAGGCGAAUAAUAACCUCAUAAUCUCUUAAAAAAUCAGAAGUGAUGCGAAGAACAGAAGAAAAAAAAGUAUUCAUAUUCUUUAUAAAUCAUGUUCUUUUCAUUUCCUUUUCAAUUUUAUAUUACUGUUGUUUAUUUUCAGGUUAGUUUUUAAUAUUGAAUUUAUGUUUUUUUUUUUCCAGAUAUGAUUACUCUGGCUAUGGGCAAUCAAGCGGAAAGGUUUAUACCAGCUUUCCUAUUCCUGGUUGCUAAUGAUCAAAAGAAAGUUUUAGGCUCUGCUCGAGCUUUAACAAUUUCACAUUUCCUUGUGGAUGUCUUUUUCUCAUGCACGCUUAGAUAUCCUUGUUUCAGAACUUAGCUAUUCAAAUUCAAACAUGAAACAUGCAGAAGUUCCCCUUAUGCUUUUGAUUUGCAUAUUUUUCCCUCUUCAUCCAUAAAGCAAGAAUUAUAUGUUAAUUGUUUCCUUGUUGAUUCUAUUUUACAUCUUCAAAAUUGUCUAUUAAUCAAGGACCUACUUGGCAUUAUGUGUAGUUUCUCAAAUGGUUAGUGUUGUUUGCUUGUAAUAUAUGGCAUUGCUCUCAACAUAUGCCACCUUUCUUUUGAAACAGCCAACUGAAUGUAACACAUAUGCGGACAUAGACGCGGCAUAUAAAUGCCUCAAGGAGCAGUAUGGGGUUAAAGAUGAUCAAUUAAUAUUGUAUGGUCAGUCUGUUGGUAGUGGUCCCACAGUUGAUCUCGCUUCGCGUUUACCAAACUUGAGAGGUGUGGUUCUGCAUAGCCCAAUAUUGUCUGGGAUGAGGGUAUUGUACCCAGUCAAAAGGACUUACUGGUUUGACAUUUACAAGGUAUUUUUUGUGGUGUUGAUUCUAUUAAAUAUGCCUGUUUAAUUCUCUGUGCGAGCACUUAAGUUACUUUCUCCUUUCAGAACAUUGACAAAAUUGGUAUGGUGAACUGUCGUGUUCUCAUAAUUCAUGUAAGUAUUAUUUCCCCUGUCUUCAAUUUCUUUUGAGCUGUUCAUAGUCUCUCUUUGGGACAUUAUUUUAUGCAUUGCAUGAGUUGUUGGCUAAAGUGAAAGAUGCAGGUCUUAUGGUUUUGAUAUUUUUCUUGUGCUAGAAUACAAAUUUUCAGACUAUCAUUGGAAAAAUUAAUAGCUGUGUAACCUCUAGAGAUAUGAAUACAGGAAAUUCCUUAGCAUCACAGUUUCACUGGAAGCUUUCAACAGGAUGUAACUAUGGUUGCAGUCAUAACUCAUAAACCAAGCAAAUAAUACGAGGAAAAGAGUCUUAAUAGCAACUGCUAGCCUGUAUUCAGUGUCAACCUAAUUCAAUUUGGUUUUUAACAAAUGAGCUUUUCCUAUACCGUUGAUAAUAUGAUUUAAUUAAUAAAAAGCCCAAGACGGAGUAAAAUUACAAAAAAAAAAGGUCUCUUUAAACCUUAUUUUUUAAUUAUUCAUUUGCUAAGGAUGUAAAGGUGGCCUGAUUGACUUCCUUGGAUAUGUAGUUUGCAAUAAACUGCUUUGACAUUUGGGUAAUCAUGUACUUGCUUAACCUGGAUAGUUUUGCACAGACAAGUUCAAUUUAUAUUUUAUUUUUGUUUCUAUAAAUCAGAAGGAUAAAACAAAAUGUUAAUAUUUGUUGAUCCUCCAUUUGAUUGCUAAAGUUUUUUGUUAUAUUGUUCAAUUUGCAGUUAUCUGUAUGUGCAAUCAUAGUUAAUAGUCAGAGAUUUAUGGCUCAUCACUCUUAAAAUAUCGUUUAUGGAAAUUAGAGAUAAAAUCACAUUAGAUAUAAGGGAUUUUAAUAUAUAUAUUUUUUAACUUCAGGGAACAUCAGAUGAAGUGGUUGACUACUCUCACGGGAAACAACUUUGGGAGCUUUGCAAAGAGAAAUAUGAACCAUUGUGGAUCAAUGGAGGUGGGCAUUGCAAUCUUGAGCUUUACCCAGAAUUUAUCAAACAUCUGAAGAAGUUUGUUUUGACCAUAGGCAAAUCAAAAACAGCUACAAAUGGUCCUAAAACAACAGCAGAGUCUGAAAAUCAGAACAAACCAUCUGAGAGUGCAAGUUCAGACACUUUUGAACUGGGUGACCUUCCUGAAAUCUCUAGAAAUAGCUUAGAUAGUAGGCUUGAGAAGUCUAAGAAGCCAAAUAAGCCUGAAAAGUCUCGGAUGAGCACUGACCGUGUUGAUAGAUUUAGAAGAAGAAAAGGCUUGGUCUGGUGAUUAUUUAUGCCAAGAGCUUCAUAAAUAAAAUACAUGCAUUGGUUGACCUGAGAAGGUAAUUUAAUUUCACUCCUGCUUUUGUAACGUGCAUUGAGUCUAGUACAAAUUAUUAGAUUGAGUGUAAUUUUCCAUAUAAAUGUUGUAUCUGUACGAAUGCUUAGAACGUGAGUCAAAUUAAGCGAAAUCUUGUAUUUUAACUCUGAGCUGUUCAUUUGAAGAUAAAAUCAUGUAUUCGCAACUAUCACGUGUAGCCAUUUUUCGUUUUUCCUUCUCUGUAGAUUUGAGAAAGUUUUAUGUGCUAGUUGUGAGCUGAAGUAAAAUAUGCUUAUCUGGUGCUGACCAUUUUCUUUCUUGGUCAUGAUUUACAUCAACAAACUAGAAACGUUUAUGUUUAUGUUUUUUGGAUUCUUCAACUCAGAUUUGUGAAACGUUCUGCAUGUUGCUGGACAUCCUGAGUGAUUUUGAUAUCAGGGGAUUUAGUACAUCCAGGAAAGAAUCGAAAGAUUUCCUGUUUUUCUUCUUCUUUGGGAUAUGUUUCAAGGACAGUGACAUCGUUGCUCUGCAAAGCAGAGUCAAAGAAUAUGUUUAUCAACAGUGCGUUAAACUACUUUCACCAUGUCGAACUAUGUGUCCCCAUUCUCCAUUUCGCAUUUCUCUUUGAACAGAAGUUUUAUACUGUCCUCCAAUUUUCCACUGAACAUUCAAGCGGUCAAACCUAUUCUUUACUGGUAGCCAUGCUCUUCAUUUCUUGGCAGCUUGUGUUUUUGUGAAGUAAUGAAUUAAUUUAUUUUUCUUUUUGAACUGCAAUUAACACCUACGGUGGUAUGAAAGUCAGAUAAAAGGUCACAUGUCCGUCAAGGGAGGGAUUAUUGAUCACCCAAUCAAAAGAACAAUGCGCCUCGCUAACACUAGCUGCUCUGGUCACCAGUCCGCGGAACAAUUUGCAUAUUGACAAAUGAGGGAGACAGAAGUGCUUCUAUGGUUUGUAAAAAUAACUGCAGAUGUUCAGGCAACUGAAAUAAAAACUCUAGAGGCUUCAAUCAAAAAGUCUCUCGUACUCAAUUCCGUAGACAAUUGCUACCCAUGCAUAGUGGUACUAUGUUGAGGGCACAGAAAGAUGCAACCGUGUUCAUCUUGAUCUUAGCUCUUAGCUAAAUGCAGAGCCUUGAUUCUCUCCAAAGGCACGAGCAGCUCUUCCUGCUAGGGUUCUUCUUGAGUGAUGAAGGCAUUAAGAGAUUUCAAAAUCAUAAAGUGCCAUGCAGCAUAGCAGAGUAGAGUCCUCCCGCUAUCGGCUUGAAGCUUCUUACUUUAGACCUAGUCAUGCUACAUGUUCACUCAGUAUUUUACUUUUCAACGGAUUCACGUGUGGAAUUCUAUUAUUCAUGAGUGGAAUUCAGUACGUCGUGAAAAAGAAAAAGAAUUCAGGUCCAAUUUCCUCCAAUAUCUACAGAUUGUCCCUAUAACCUCUCUCCAUCUCCGAAAUGCAAUGCCAUCUCUUUCCUACCAAUUCUUGGUUCAUCAUAUUCCUUAUAAUAAUCUGUGUCCAUGCUCCAUCAUCUGCUUUUUCGGAUGAUGAUGAGCGAUAUCUGAGCUGCGUGAAGUCAUUUGAUUGCGGAAAUAUUAAGGGUGUUGGUUAUCCUUUCUCGGGAUCCGAUAGGCCUGAUUACUGUGGCUAUCCCGGGUUUGAGCUCGGUUGCAGCAACCAAGAUCCGGAGAUCACAAUCAUGCAAUUGAGUUACAAACUCCUUGGCAUCAAUAACCAGUCGCGGACUCUCAAUGUUUCUAGAACAGAUUACACAGAAAAUCUUUGCCCUACUCUCCUUUCCAACACCUCUUUGAAUCCAAAUCUCUUGAGUUCCACUUCAGAUCAUGCUGAGGUAACACUGUACUAUGGUUGCCCUAGUCCAAGCCCAGCAGGGUUUUCAGCUCAGUUUACUUGCAACGUUAACGACAGUACUGGUAUGAUGGGAUACUUUAUAACAGUCAACCUCUCUGUCCUCAGUAUGACUGCUCCCAGCUUAAUCAGCUACCUGACAGCAUGCAACAAUAGUGUUAAAGUUCCUGCCCAUCUAUCAGCUAUUAUGCCAAUUCUACCCAAUCCAACUGUAGCACAGUUGCUUGAAGCUAUUUAUCAAGGUUUUGAGUUGGAGUGUAGUGCAAAUGAUUCAUUAUGUGAUACAUGCAAAUCUUCCGGUGGUCAGUGUGGGUACAACCAGACCACUACAGCACAGUUAGUUGUUAAUGUUUCCGUUUAAAAAUAAAUAAAUGAUCAAUAGCUAUAUAAUUAUGGCUAAAAUGAAAUUAAAGAAAUAGUCUUUCCUUGUGAUUAAAAUACACUCUCCUACCGCUAUCAGCACGACGCUUCUUGCUCUGGACCUAGUCAUACUGCAUGUUCAGUCAACAUUUUACUUUUCAACAGUGCUGUUCAAGAAUGGAAUUCAGUACGGUAUCAUAAUGAAAAAAAAUCAGGUUUAGUUUUCUCCAACCUCUACAGAAUUUCCCUGCAGUUUCUCUCCAUCUCUGGAAAUGCAACACCAUCUCUUUCCUACCAAGUCUUGGUUCAUCAUGUUCCUAACAAUAACCUUUGUCCAUGCUCCAUCAUCUGCCUCUGCCAAUGAUGAUGAGCGAUAUGUAAGCUGCAGCAACUCGUUAGAUUGUGGAGAUAUUAAGGGUGUUGGUUAUCCUUUCUGGGGAUCCAAUAGGCCUGAUUACUGUGGCUAUCCGGAGUUGAAGCUCAACUGCAGUGACCAAGAUCUGGAGAUCACAAUCAAGAAAUUGACUUACAAAGUUCUUGGCAUCAAUAACCAGUCACGGACUCUCAGUGUUGCUCGAACAGAUUAUGCAGAAAACAUCUGUCCAAUAUUCAUUCUCAACACCACUUGGAUACCCAAUCUCUUGAACUACACAUCCGAUGAUCAGAACAUAACAAUCUACUAUGGUUGCCCCACUCAAGGUGCACCAACUUCAACGGUUUUACCUCAGUUUCCCUGCGAAAUAAACGCCACUCAGAUGACGGGCUACUUUACAGCAUUUGCCAACUUGUCGGUUCUUGGAAGCUCUGCUUCUAGCUUGAUCAGUUACCUGGCAUCGUGCAAAGAUAGCAUUAUAGUUCCACUACGUGAAUCAGCUUUUCAGCAAAUUUUAAGUACUCCAACUGCAGCACAGCUGCUGGGAAGUCUAAAUCAAGGUUUUGGUUUGGAGUGGAAUGCAUCUAAUAGCUUAUGUGAUACAUGCCAACUUUCUGGUGGUCAGUGUGGGCACAACCAGACUACUACAGCAUUUACUUGUUAUUGCAAGGAUCAACCUCAACAAUUUUCUUGCCAACAAUCUCCAACUAAUGAUCAAUCCUCAAGUAUGUCCUCUUGCCUGUUGUUAUUUUUUUUUCUGCUGAUGUCACACUAGGAGUAAAUAGGAAAACAGACAACUUAUACUUGGAUUCUGCCCUUUCCAGAACCCAAGAUAUGUCCUCCUCCAAAUUAGGUAAUGGUAGAAGCAGGAUCUUUGCUAAUAGAAAACUGACCUCUUAUCAGUCAAGGAAACCAUGAAGAGGAUGAGAUAUUAUUGCAUCCAAUCACCCCAGGAAUAGGUGCGAAUCACCAUUCCUUUGGUUUAAGUAAUGAGCCUGGGCAGCCAUUAGGAAUUAUUCAAAGUUCCAUGAUCCUGAAGAAAACAUCUUCCUUGACCUCUCACUUCCUGUGUAACAAGGAAGCAAGGACUUUUAAGUAACUCACAAAGACUUGGUACCAUGGGAAUUAAUAAAAAAAUUUAUAUUUGUCGACCAAUUCGUUGUCAUUAUAAUUUAUAUUUCUUUUUAUAUUUGUCGACCAAUUCCUUGACCAAUUUGUUGUCAUUACAAUUUGUUUAAUCAUAAUUAUACAAUGGUAAGAAAUUUAAUAUGCCAAAAACGUAGUUUCAUUUCCUAUGGGCCUGGGGAAGUCUUAUAUAUAUAUAUAUAUAUAUAUAUAUAUAUAUAUAUUACCCACAACCUAAAUACUGUUAUUGUUAGAGAUAAUAUUUAUCAAUUUAAUGGCUAGAAGUUGCCUCCUUGAUCGAUUACAUGCUUCUUAACUCCAUCAAAUUAUCUUUCUUUUUUUAGAACUAUAAUGUGCAUAAUAUAACUUUUUGUCUCCAAACAAUUAUAAAAUAAUUAAAAGUUGUUGUAAUUAAAAUCAUUUAAGGGUUAUGUUUGAUUUUCGCAAUUGAUUUAUUUUCUUAAUGAUGAUUUUGUUAGAAAUAUUGUAGCGAUAGUUUUUCACCAUUUAAUUAAUUUUCACCACGAAAAUGUCCAUGCACUAUAUCGACUUGGAUGCCUUUGUAAAAAUAUUUCUGGUUAUAUGUACUUAUGUUAUUUAGUGAAGAAGUUAGCUAUCAAUGGUUUCUUAUGGACAUGUAAAAUGUUUUUAUAGCUACCAAAUUGAUAUAGUAUAAAACUUGUCAUAAAUAAUAAUGUUUGAGAGAUUAUUUCAAAAUUAUUUUUAUUCUAUAUUGAGAAGAUAUUUUUUUUGUAUAUACUUUAUGCUUUCUACAAAAAUUGAGCUUAGUUAUUUUUUAAGAAUUUCAUUAGAUUAUAAUUGAAGAGAUGGGAGGAGAAGAAUAUAUUUUGACAUUAAAAUAUUGUAAUUCAUAAUAUCAACUUCAAUAUAGUUUUAGUUUGGAUGCGUAAGGUCACAUACUGAUAACUCAACCUCUAAAUAAAAAAAUAUUUUUUUUUGUCAUAAAUCUUUAACAAAACUAUAUUCCACCAUCAUCAAUCACCACCACUUUUUAUAUUAUUAUUCAAAUCUCAACUCCCACUUCACCAACAAUCAACUCUCAACCACCGUUAUUUUUUAAACACCAACAAUUAUCUCAUCACCACCAAACUUUCAAAUUACUUAUAAAAUAUUACAAAUUUUGUAAAUUAUUUUAUAGAAAUGUUUUUUUUUUCAAUAUCAUUACUAAUAGUACAAUAAAACAUAUUUAAUAAUUUUAGAAUUCAUAUAAAUUGCAAAAACUAAUUUAAAUAUUUUUCCUAAUAUAUUUGUAUUUUAUUUUAAUUAAGUUAAAUUGCCCGACUAAAUAUCACACCAAUUAAUUUUAGAAACUAUAUAAACAAACUCAUAUUAGGACUAUAUUAGCAAUCACACAUUUUUUUUAAUUUUAUCAAUACAAUAUGGUUACGUGAAUAAUAAUUAAUUACAAAAUUUAUUUUUAUUUUUCUAGUUAUUAAUAGUGAUAUGCCCCCGAGCUGCUAUGUAGCUAUUUUCAAAACCUGUUUUUAUUUAAUUCUAUGAUAAUUAAAAUGAAUAUUUAUAAAAAUUAAAAUAAUUAAAAUAAAUGUAUUUCUUCACUUAAAAUUCUUUUUUCUUAACAAUGCAUUUCUCUCUUUCUUUUUGACAAAAAGAAUUUUUUUUUACCAAGAACAUAAUUAUUUGAAUGAAACCUCAAUGCAAUUAAAAUAAAUAAAUAUAAGAACUCAAAUGAUUUAAAUUUAAGAAGGAAAAAAUGUAUUUCUUUUUGCCAAAAUCCCCUUUUCUUAUUUAUUUAUUUUUGUUCUGAUAAAAACCUUUUUUUAGAAAUAUGAUUAUUUAAAUAGAAACUCAUCAUCACCUGAAAAGAAAAUUUCAAUUGCAAAAAAUAAAAAUCAAGCCUUGAUAAUUUUUACAUAGCAGAAUGAAAAAAAAAAAAAAAAUAAAAAAAAAAAUUGAAAUGUAUAAAAUACCAUAAUUUUAAAUGUUAAAGUAACAAGGAUAGUAUAAUCUUCGCAAAUGUUAACACCAGUAACAAUCCUUUAUCUAGUAUAGUUAAUGAGAAAAAUGAGGCUAUAUAAAAGAAAAAUGAGUUACUUAUAUAAGAGAUGGACACAGAACAUUAGUCUAUUAUUCUUGUAGGUUGGAGGUGGUGUUCAUCUCGUGACCACAGUCCCAACGCGAACAACUACCUAACAUUAUUUGAUGUCCUGUUACAGGAUCUACUCGGAGUAGGCGACUAUGGAUUGCUUUAGGUAGGUAAAUAUAAUCAUAAGAAAGCUGAUAUUCUUGUUUGACGAUGAUAUCGAUGAUGAUGCAUCUUAAAUUACAGGCACAUCAGCAGCUGUGGCAGCGAUGGUGACUUUUUCCAUAAUUACAAUAUAUCUCACUAGAAGAGAAGGUUCUUUUGGUGCUGUCAUAGCAAUGACCUUCAGGCUGAAGAAAUCGCAGCAUGUUGGUAGGGUUAAAACAUUUAUGAUGGACUAUCAUUCUCUUAUUCCAAAGCGUUAUUCGUAUUCAGAGAUCAAGAAAAUGACCAACUCAUUCGUCUAUACACUAGGCCAGGGAGGAUUUGGUAAUGUAUACAGAGGAAAGUUACCAGAUGACGGUCGUCUUGUAGCUGUAAAAGUCCUAAAAGAAUCCAAAGGUGAUGGAGAAGAGUUCAUGAAUGAAGUUGCAAGCAUCAGUAGAACUUCCCACGUGAAUGUAGUUAACCUUUUGGGCUUCUGCUACGAGAGGAAUAAAAGAGCUUUGAUUUAUGAAUUCAUGCCCAAUGGAUCUUUAGAUAGCUUCCUAUCUGAUAAAGGAUCCCCACAUACAACCUGUCGUUUAGAAUGGAAAAAAUUAUAUGAAAUUGCAGUUAGUAUUGCUAGAGGUCUGGAGUACUUGCAUAGAGGGUGUAACACUCGGAUUGUGCAUUUUGACAUAAAGCCUCACAACAUUCUUCUUGAUGAAGACUUUUGUCCAAAGAUCUCAGAUUUUGGUCUCGCGAAGCUAUGCCAGAGCAAAGUAAGUAAGAUUUCGAUGAUAGGUGCCAGAGGAACUGUUGGUUACAUAGCGCCUGAAGUAUUCUGCAGAAAUUUUGGAGGAGUAACUUACAAGUCUGAUGUGUAUAGUUAUGGAAUGAUGGUUCUUGAAAUGGUCGGACAAAGUAAAGAUUUUGAUAUGGGAUCGGUGGAAACCAACGAGUUGUAUUUCCCGGAUUGGUUUUAUAUGUAUCUUGAUCCAGGAGAGAUUUCAACAUUUCAUGGAGGUACAACGGAGGAGGAAGAAGAGAUUGUUAAAAAGAUGAUUUUAGUGGGUUUGUGGUGCAUCCAAACCAUGCCGUCACAUAGACCAUCAAUGACAAAGGUUGUAGAGAUGUUUGAAGGCAGUCUUCAGUCUUUGCAAAUUCCACCGAGACCUUCCCUUUCCUCUCCUAGAAGGUCCGCUCAAGAUCACUCUUCCAAUGUAUCAUCACUGCCUUGCGUGUCGUCCAGGGGGGUGGGGUAAACACAUUGUCUGCAGAUGAAAGUGACUUAUAACUGGAAAUUGCAAAUUUUAUUUUGCCUGAUAAAAAUAAAAAACAAACCUGUAUUUGUUCUUCAUCUAAGUGCUGCUCUUGGUUGAAUUAAUUUUUCUAUGAUAUAGCUCGUGAACGGGAGGAAACUCUCACAGUGCUGGUAAGAGACACUAUCUCUCACCUUCAUUUUUUGUCCAUGAUGUUAAAAAACUCUAGUAUGUACUUGAUGUUCAAUAUGUGGGAAGUGUAGAAUUGAUCUUUUCCUGCUUGCUUGUCAUUGUUUAUAAUUUCAAAGUUUAUACGAGACUAAGAGGCCGAGCUUUAUUAUUGCUUAUGGUUAAUGUCAUCAAAGCUUCAUUGCAAUUUUCAUAGCGAACUUCUAUAUGUUUCUUACUCUGGUCAUUAUAACGACCAUGAACCUGAACGGCCAACAUAGGAGGCACAGAGUGAACUCAUUAAUCGAAGAUGAAAUAGCAGGAACCAAUCCCUGCUUACAAGGCUCUGGGGAAGACGAAAACAAAAGGAAGGGAGGCUGUAAUAGCACAUUACAGAUAGAUGUUCCUUUUUCACCUGCACUUGACAGAGAAAGAAAGAGUUAAGAAACGUGCUGGUAGUAGAAUAUAAUUCAGUAUGCCAUCUAACUAGUCAUAUUUAUAUCUUCAUGUUUUGAUUUCUGCUACAGGACUUUUGAAGAGACACCGGCGACUUGGCAUUACAGAAGGUAGUACUGUAAUCAAAUUUAUAUCUUCCUCUACCUUUUUCAAUAACCAGUGGUGGUAACUAUUUCAUGGUUCUGACGUUUUCUUCUUUUAAGCCAUAUCAGCUCCUGUGGUGCUGUUAUUAGCAGUCUUUAUCAUUCGGUACGUUUUACUAAAAGAGAAGGAUUAUUUAGGCAUAAGAACGUCAAAACACCCGAGUUAAUGAUGAACCCAGCUCGUGACCUGAGACUAGCUUCAGGUCAACUUUCAAAUUGAGUUUUAAAAUUAUAAUAAUAACUAUUAUUAUUCUUAUGUUGACCCGGGUUAAUGAUCAAUUCCAUCGUGACCUAGACCUGGCCUUGAAGCGACUCUCAAGUUGAGUUUUAAAACUAUAACAAUAACUACUUUUAUCCUUAUGUUAACUCGGGUUAAUGGUCCCAACUCGCGACCCAGGUCUAGCUUUGAGUCGACCCUUAAGUCGGAUUUUAAAAAUAUAAUAAUAAACUACUUUUAUCCUCAUGUUAACUCGGGUGAAUGGUCUCGAUCCGCGACCCAAGCCCAGUACCGAGUCGAGUUUUAAAACUAUAAUAAUUACUUUUAGCCUCGGUUCGACCCUUGAAUCGAGUUUUAAAAUUAUGAUAAUAAUUAUUUUUAUUCUUAAAUUGAUCUAAGUCAAUGAUAAACCCGAGCUGACCCUUGGUUGAGUUUUAAAGCUAUACUAUAACCAUUUUUAUUGUUCAAGAUACCAAACACUAUCUAAGUUUAUGUCUGGUAAAGAAUUCGAACAAAUAAAAUAGAAAGCAUACCUUGAUGAAUAACAAUCUAUUUAAGAAAAUGCAGUCCUGAAUUUAAUUUGAUGAAAAGCUUUGUUUCUCUUCUGAACUUCAAUUAUUUUCAAGUAUGUUUUGAUGAAAAAAGAUGUUUGAUAAAUAUCAGUUUUCUUAAUAAAUUUCUUAUCCCAUACAUUCAUCAAUAAUUAUAAUAAAAAACCACAUUUCAAAAUUAAUCAUUGAAGAGCCCUUAGCUUAUCUAUAUCCAUCACAUCUUACACCCAGCUUUCAAUUUCAUGUUAUUACCAUCAUGCCAUAUGACUUUUCCAGCCAUGCUAGAAUAUAAGCAGUCUUUGCUUGUCCUUGCAAGUCUCCUUGACCAACUGUGUUCUGUAUGUUCCGAGCUAGAGAGUGAUGUGCAGUACAUAGACUUCAUUUUUCCAAUAAAAGCAUAGCGGAGAUUAAUGUGCCCAUACCUUUGCAUUCAAGUCACCUGAGCAUAUAUUCAAUAUUUUAAAUAAUGCAUUUAUUUUUGUUACUCAUUUCUUUAUCCUCUGAACUUUCCCAGAAACAACCAAGCCCAUUUUGCUAACACACAACUCCAUUUUGAAACUCAAUGUCACGCAAUCGGUUUCAACCUUCUAUUUAAUUUAAUUAAAUUUAAUUUCUCCACAUUUAUUUCUUUGUUGACUAUCCCUGCAAGUUGUAGCUUGUGGGGAUAUCACAGUCCAAUUUUUUUUAUAUACAACGUUUUACUGACAUGACCAUACCUUUAAAACAAAUAAUUCAAUUUUACAGAGUUUUUUACUCCAAAAGGUUUUCUCAAACUAAUCUACAAUUUUCUCAGUAGUUGUUAAUUAUAAAUCGAAGUUUGAUAGUUGGAGGGCUUGUAAUAGUUAUUAACUAGUUUGUUGGCACCUAUAUAAAAUAAUUUAACGUAAUUGUUUUAAUCAUUGUUAAAUUUAAUUUAAUAAGUUAAUCUUGAAAUCUUUUACUUAAUUUUUUAUCUAACUCGGAUUAAAAAUUAAUCUAUAUAAAAAAUAUUUUAAUAUGAUCGUGUUAGGUUUAAAAACAAAUUAGAUAAUUAGUAAAAAAAAUGAUUUGAAUUUUAAAAAAAGUAGAGAUGAUAUUUGUUUUUUAAUAUUAAAACACUAAUAUAUUAAAUCAACCUAAAUUUUAUAGUUUUAUUCGUCAAACCUGUAAUUUAUAUUAUGGAAUUUAUUAAGAUUAACAAUUUUUGUUUUUUUUUAUAUAUUUUUAUAUGAUAACAAAAAUAAAUACUCGUAAAAUUAAAUAUUAAUUAAGUAUCAAAAUAUUUAUUUAUAACUGUGAUAAUCUCAUAAAAAAAUAAAUUAUAAAAAUUAAUUCAAAAUAACUCCCUUGUUGAAGAAUUAUAUAUAUAAAUGAUUCCAUCUAAUUAAUGAGAAUAGGGGCCGUCCGUGAUCUAUUUCUGUUGUGACAGGUCCACAAUAUGGUUUUGGCAAAGCUGCCUUUUUUUUUUUAAAAAAAAAAACCCUUACAGAAUUGGGAGCACAAGUUGGUUUCUAUUGUAAAGAUAAAAAAAAAAUUAUAAAGAUAAAUUCAAAAUUAAAUAAUUAAAUAAUAAAAAAACGAUUCCAUCUAAUUAAGAAGAAUAGGGCCUUCCAUGAUGUAUUUCUAUUGUAAUAGGUCCAAUGUGGUUUUAGCAAAGCUGUCUUUUUUUUAUAAAAAAAAAACCCUUACAGUAGCACAAGUUGGUUUGUACUGAUGAUAUGUUAUAUCCAUAACCAUAUAUGGAAUUAAACCAACGCAAAGGGUCUCAAACCAUAGAUAAAUUCUUACUUUACAAUAUUCUUGAUUUCAUUUUUUAUUUUUUUAUUACAUAUUUAGGCUGAAUUCAAUACAAAUAUUUCAUUUAUUUAUUUAUUUAUUUUUUGGGAAGUUUAGUUGAACCUUGGUUUGAACAAUUGGAAAGACCCGAUUUUCUCUUGGUUUGAACAAUUGCAAAAAAAACCUUAUCAUUUUCUCUUAAUUUUUGUUAUUAGGUACGAGAGAGACCCGAUUUCAUGUUAUUAUCAUCAACCACAUAUAUAAUUUUCCAAACUAUGCGAGGAUUUUUUUGCGUGUCCUUUUAAUAUAUUUGACCGAUUCUCUUCUCUUCUUUUAGAGACAGUCCAAGACAGUGAUGCAUCAUAGCAUACAAGACUUCAUUUUGCAAAUAGAGGCCUCGUAGAAAGAAAUUAGUGUGGUAGCCCUUUCCCAAGAAAAAACAUAAAUUACAAACUUUGAGUCCACCAAGCAUUUAAAUCCAAGUGUUGCGUUCACAUCUAUCCCUUUCUGAUGUAUUUAUUUACCUGGAAUUGAUAAUUAGCACGCCAGAACUCAUCUCUUUAUACUCGAAACUGUCCCUCAAACAACCAAUCCCAUUUUGCUACCACACAAUUCCAUUCCUCCUAUGCUACUUCCUCUUGCCAGAAUGAAUUCCUCGGCCUUUUCUUUUCUUUCAGAUUUUGUUCUUGUUUUGUUGCUCUUCAUUCAUGUCCCUUCAUCCUCGAGCAACGAUGACCUGUACACUGCCUGUAGUAAAAAGUUUGAAUGUGGGGGUAUUUCCGCGGGUUUUCCGUUCUGGGGAAAUGACAGAUCACCUGACUGUGGCCUUCCUGAAUUGGAGCUCAGGUGUGAGAAUAAUAUCGCCAAGAUGAAUAUCAGUCAGGUUACGUAUCGUGUUUUGGAUUUCAAUCCGGAAAUGGGAACUCUCAGGGUUGCAACAGAGGACUCCUUUGUUGGAUUGUGUUCACCUCAAUUUAUGAACAGCAUGUUCAAUCCUAAGGUUUUCGAGUCUGUUGAGGGUUACACAAAUCUUACAUUCAUUUAUGGAUGCAAGGAUGCUCCUCCAACCAUACCUUUCACUUGCAAGAUAAAUGAGGUUAAUGAUAUUCAAGGUGGUUAUAUCCAAGAAGGAGAUGCUGGUCCUGGCGAAUGCUAUCGUAGUGUCUUAGUGCCAUUUUCUAUAACAAAUUGGCCACGAAUCAAACAACCUGUUACUGUCCAAGCUUUGGAAGAACACCUGAAAAAAGGAUUCGAGGUAAGAUUCAAGGUCCAUAGGCCGGAGGCGUGUGGGGAAUGCAAAAUGUCUUCAGGAGUUUGUGGUAUUGACGAUGUAACUAAUCAAACAACUUGUUACUGUCCAAAUCAAUCAAGAGGAUCAAAAACAUGUGCUCUUCCAGCUCCAGGUAUGUACCUCAACUUUCUCCUCGAAUCAGUUUAUGAUGAACUCCAGUCACUUGUUGAUGCUUCACACACCUUAGUUCCGUUCCUGUUUUUGUUAUUUUAACUUUAUUUUAAAUAGAUUUGGACAGAAGUAAACAUCAUAGCUAAGAAUUUAACUUGUCUGCUUUAAGAAUUGCCUAAAUUAUUUAUUCAGUCCUCGUUUUAUUAGAAAAAUAAUUAGUUAGUCCAUCUGAUUAAAAAAAAAAUAUUAUAUCCCUAUAUUUUCAUUUCUAUGAUAUUUUAAUCUCUUCGCUAAGUGUUUGUUAAUUAAGUGUUGAGAAGUAAACAUCAAUAUGAUGAUGAUGAUCUCCUGGAACCACUUGAAUAGUCUAUUAGGGAGGCUCGAACUGCAGAACUAGACUACACCAUGGGAAUAAGGGACAGCGUUCUGGUUAGGAAAUGGUCACACCAUAGUUAAAUUGAUGCCCAUGGUGUCUUAUCAUACAACUAGUCGUAGGAAAUCUUGAUGGCAUGUUCUGCAGAUUUUUUGAACUGACAGAGAAAAUUAUUUGUGAUUUUCGUCAACUAAUUGAUCAUAGCUAAGAAUUUAACUUGUCUGCUUUAAGAAUUGCCUAAAUUAUUAGUCAGUCCUCGUUUUAUUAGAAAAAUAAUUAGUUAGUCCAUCUGAUUAAAAAAAACAAUAUUAUAUCCCUCUGUUUUCAUUUCCAUGAUGUUUUAAUCUCUUCCCUGAGUGUUUGUUAAUUAAGUCACAAAUUGUCACCAAUUUAACUUUUUUUUCCCUACAAAAUAUCCCCUUUUGAAUUAAAAUAAUUUUAUAAGACUCGAUUUGAUAUUGAUCUUCUUAAGAUCUAGAUCGUGCUCAUGCCAAUUCAAGUUCUUUUAUAUAAAAAAAAAACGAAACUUGAAAGGAAAUUGUUUGGGGUUUUUUUCUUAAAAAAUAAAAAAUAACAUCUUUUUUUAAAAAACUGAAUUCUCCUAUUAACUUGGUCUUAGGUUAAGCCUCAAGUCAGCGAUUAUAAAAUUGACGGCCGAGCAAAAAUUAUAACUAUGAAUUUUUCCAUUUUUAACAUGCAUGUGAUUGUUGCCUCUUGGAGCUGUUCAUAUUCCUUGACGGCUGGACCGGCAAAGUACCAAACAAAAACAUACAAUAACGAAGGAUUUGUAAAUUCUUGCACCAGUAGGGAGGAUUCGGGGAGUGGUGGUCCGAGACUCUCUGGCAUAUUUUUACCUUAGGGGAGAUGAGAUGGUGAUUUAGGAAGGAUCUCAUCUGACAAACAACCUAAACCCCGAAGAAAUAAUUAAUUAUUCGAUCGGAAUUAGCAAAUCUAAUCAACAUAAUAGAAAUUACAGCGAGCAUCUGGUAAUUAAAAUAAGGUAGGAAAACACCAGGAAAUUCACAAGGUGAUGCAGAAAUGAAGUCCACAUCAGAGACUUGGUCUUUCUGCAGAGUUCAUUUUCUUCUUUGUUCUGUUUCCUGGAAUAAUCUUUCAACUGAAACUUCAAAUUCCCACCUAUGAAAUUAAUUUUAAAUAAUUCACACGUUUACUCUAGGAAUUUAAACAUAGGGCACCGUAACAUCACAAAAUUCUUUUUCCUUGAUUCGUCAUCGUACCAAAUAUAUAAACUUAAUCAGCCAAAAUAAUAGCACAAAGGAUAUCAAUAUAAGGUUACAGUAACUCAUGAUAUUUACAAUAAAUUAUAUUUAAUUUUUAUAUUUUUAUAAUGUGAAAGUAGUGAUGUGUUUAUGACUCUCUUUUUUUUAUAUAGAUUUUCAUUUAAUAAAUUUAUACUUGGAGCAACAUUAAGAUCUUAAAAACUAAAUAAUCUAAAGAUAUAUCAUGAAAUUAAAAUAAUAAAAUAAUAUAUAAAGGCUUGUAGCUGCCAUGAAAACAGGAAUAGACAUCUCUUCGUCCUUUUUAGAGCGUGACCCAGUGACGAUUAAAGUAAGAAAUGAUUUGGUGUAUAAGGGUCUACCAAAAGUGCUAUGCAAUCGCUUGUGUCAAGUGGCCACAUCACCUUCCAAUUUAAGCCAAACUCAAUAGUCAGCUCUUAAAAUUCUUGACGAAGCCUGUUUUCGGUAUUUUGUGAGUUCCGUAAACACGAUUUUCUAGCUAGCUCUUCUCUUAAAGUCAUAAUCAUUUUUUAGUAAUAAGAUUUUAAUAUUACAUAUACAAAAAUCAUUUUAAUUUUAAAGUAAAAUUUUAAAAUAUAAUUUAUAUUAUUUUCUAAUAAUAAAUUAUUUAUUCAAUAAAAAAUUCAACAUCAUUCAGGCAAGCAGGCAACUAUCUAAUACUUAUCAGUAUAAACAUAAUAUAGGAUGGUUUGGAAAUGUAACGGUUAUUAUUUUUUAAAGUAUUUUUUUAUUUAAAUAUAUUAAAAUAUAUUUUUUUAUCUUUUUAAAAAUAAAUUUUGAUAUUAACACAUGAUCCGAUGAUAUUUUUUUAAAAAUAUUUUUAAACAAAAAUAAAUAAAUUUCUUGAAGCUAUUAAUCAAGGUUUUGAGUUGGAGUGGAGUGCAAAUGAUUCAUUAUGUGAUACAUGUGAAUCUUCUGGUGGUCAGUGUGGGUACAACCAGACCACUACAGCAUUCACUUGUUACUGUGCGGAUCAACCUCAAGAUUUUGAAUGCUCAGCAUCACCACAGGCACCUAGUCAAUCUACAAGUAUGUCCUCUUUUCUUUCUUGAUACCAUGACUGGAUAGAUAGAGAUAGCUGAAAUCUAAGAUAUGCCCUCCAGGCUAGGUGAUGUAGGAGGACCUCUGGUAAAAGAAACAGGUGUGAAUCGUUCCUUUGAGUAGAGGGAGGAACCUAGCUAGCUAUUAGGAAUUGUUCAAAGCUCCAUGAUCCUGAAGAGAACACCUUCCUCGACCAUUUAAUUCCAGUAUAUCAGGGAAACAAAGACUUCGAUUAACUGACAAAGACUUUAUAAAAAUAAUAUUUUAUAAAAAGAGAUACAAUAAAAUAACCUUUUCGUUUAGUCAAGUCAAGUGAGGCCUCGUCUCUAUCACUGAAACCCAAUGUCACGCAAUCGAUUUCAACCUUCUAUUUAAUUUAAUUUCUAUACAUCUAUUUCUUUGUUGACUAGCCCAGUCCAUACUCAAAGUGCGUUUUUUUAUUGGUCGCAUGUGGGAAAUCACAGUACAGUUUACUUGCAUGACCGUAGCUUUAAAACAAAUAAUUCAAUCUUACAGACUUUUUACUCCAAAGGGUUUUCUCAAACUAAUCUACAAUUUUCUUAGUAGUUGUUAAUUAUAAAUACAAGUUUGAUAGUUAGAGGAGGGCUUCUAAUAGUUAUUAACUAGUUUCUUUGGAUCGGAUCAAAAUGUUUUUGAAUAUAGAAAAAUAAUAAUCUCAAGCCACAUCGAAGUUACAUUGUUAUUAGUGCUGUUCGGUAUUUUUUUUUUGGUUAUGUUAUUAAUUUUAUUUUUUAUUUUUAUUAGUUAAAAUAAAAAUUUUAUUCAAUUUUAUUCUUUAUUAUUAUUAGGUUAAUGACAAAUCAUUUUUUGUAGUUUUUAUCAUAAAAUAAAAUAAAAUAAAAGAUUAAUCAAGUUGAGUUCAUAACCUUGAUCACAAGUUUGACAUAUUGACUAAACAUUAAUAAAAGGGUCGGGGUCGGGGUUUUUUGACAUUUUUUAUAUAUAUAUCUUUUGAUUUUUUUUUUUGUCAAUUCUAUUAUUUAAUGUGAGAUUUUUAUUAAAUUUUCUCAUUCAGUGUUGGGUUAAUGAUAAAUUAAUCUUGGUAUUUUCUAUCUCAUAAUAAAAUAAAAAUUAAUUCGACCUAAUGGAGUCCCCAAUCCAGGUCACAGGGUUGACAAACUGACUAAAUAUCAAUAAAAAAAAUUGAAUAGGAAUUUUUUCAAAUUUAAAUUAUUAUGCCGAGUUUAAUCACAAUACCACAAAGUUCUGAACAAUCUAAAUAUGGUUUUUAACAUUUCAAAAAUUUUGUGUUUAACCCACACCGAAAACGCCGGUUGAUAAACCAAUAGUAACCAAAUCGAUGUAGCAUAUGUUCAUUUUCUAGCUUUACGUCUUAUUUUGUAUGUAAAUUAAAACUUGCAAUAUCAUUUUAAUAUUUAAACUUUAUGCUUUAUAAAAAACAAUGAGCUUUUUAUUUUUCAAGGAUGUAAUUCGAUUAUAAAUGAAGUGAGGAGAGGAGAAGUAUAUAUUUUGAAAAUAAAAUAUAAUAACGUCAAAUUUAAUGUAGUUUUAGUUUGAAUGUACAAGGUUACAUAUUAAUAAUUCAACCUCUAAAUGAAUAUACCGUGUCAUAUAUAUGCCAUAUAAAUAAAUCUAAUAAUUAACAUUAUUUGAUGUCCUGUUACAGAAUCUUCUUGGAGUCGUAGGCGACUACAUAUUGCUAUAGGUAAAUAUUAUCAUAAGAAAUCCAAUUUUCUCGUUUGAUGAUGAUGGUAUUGAUGAUGAUGCAUCUUAAAUUAUAGGCAUAUCAGCAGCUGUGGCAGCGAUAAUAACUUUUUCCGUAACUACAAUAUGUCUCAUUAGAAAAAAAGGUUCAUUUAGUGCCGUCAUAGCAAUGAUCAUCACGCCGAAGAAUUCGCAGCAUGUUGACAGUGUUGAAACAUUUAUGAUGGACUACCAUUCUCUUACUCCAAAGCGUUAUUCAUAUUCAGAUAUCAAGAAAAUGACCAGCUCAUUCGCCAAUAUACUAGGUCAGGGGGGGUUUGGUUAUGUAUACAGAGGAAAGUUACCAGACGACGGUCGUCUCGUGGCUGUAAAAGUUCUAAAAGAGUCCAAAGGUGAUGGAGAAGAGUUCAUGAAUGAAGUUGCAAGCAUCAGUAGAACUUCCCACGUGAAUGUAGUUACCCUUUUGGGUUUCUGCUACGAGAGGAAUAAAAGAGCUUUGAUUUAUGAAUUCAUGCCCAAUGGAUCUUUAGAUAGCUUUAUAUCUGAUAAAGGAUCCCUACAUACAAACUGUCGUUUAGAAUGGAAAAAAUUGUAUGAAAUUGCAGUUGGUAUUGCUAGAGGUUUGGAGUACUUGCAUAGAGGUUGUAACACUCGGAUUGUGCAUUUUGACAUAAAGCCUCACAACAUUCUUCUUGAUGACGAAUUUUGUCCAAAGAUCUCUGAUUUUGGUCUCGCGAAGCUAUGCCAGAGCAAAGUAAGUAAGAUUUCGAUGAUAGGUGCACGAGGGACUGUUGGUUACAUAGCACCUGAAGUAUUCUGCAGAUCUUUUGGAGGAGUAACUUACAAGUCUGAUGUGUAUAGUUAUGGAAUGAUGGUUCUUGAAAUGGUCGGACAAAGCAAAGACUUUGAUAUGGGAUCGUUGGAAACCAACGAGAUGUAUUUCCCGGAUUGGUUUUAUAUGUAUCUUGAACCAGGAAAGAUUUCAACACUUCAUGGAGGUACAACGGAAGAGGAAAAAGAGAUUGUUGAAAAGAUGAUCUUAGUGGGUUUGUGGUGCAUCCAAACCAUUCCAUCACAUAGACCAUCAAUGACAAAGGUGGUAGAGAUGUUUGAAGGCAGUCUUCAGUCUUUGCAAAUUCCACCGAGACCUUCCUUUUCUUCUCCUAGAAGGUCCGCUCAAGAGCAAUCUUGCACUGUAUCAUCACUGCCUUGCGUGUCAUCGCAGGGAGAUGAGGUAAACAAAUUGCCUGCUGAUGGAAGUGACUUGUAAUCGGAAACUGAAAACUUUUUGUCCAUGAUGAUAACAAAUUCUAGGAUGUACUUGAUGUUCAAUAUGUGGGAAGUGUAGAAUUGAUCUGUUCCUGCUUGCUUGUCAUUGUUUAUAAUUUCAAGGUUUAGACAAGACCAAGAGGCCGAGCUUUAUUAUUGCUUAUGGUUAAUGUCGUCGAGGCUUCAUUGCAAUUUCAAAGUUUAGAUAAAACUCAGAGGUUGAGCUUAUUAUUACUAAUGGUUAAUGUCAUCAAUGCUUCAUUACUCAGAUGUUCAAUAUAUUUCUUACUCGUAUUCGUAUUUUGCUUGAGCAGCUGAAUUAGAAUGGAAUCGUCUAUGUUCGAAACUAUACCACAAAACUUCAGGAAAGUGAACAUAAAUCUUCUACUCUUCAUCAAUAAGUUUCCUGUAGUCAUUCAUGUGAAGAACCGAUACCAGUGUAUGUUUGUAGGGAACAUAAAUCUUCUACUCUUCAUCAAAGGCUUGUGAAGAUCUUUCUGCUGUGCUUAUUGGGGUCAGAAGUAGUCGUUCCACGAUGAAGUCAAUUUGAGCUUUCGGAAUGUGUAACAACCAACCAAUCUUCCCUUGGUAACAUUAAUGCCAAUCUAAGCAGCUUCUUGGGAUGUGUAGAACUAGUGUUAUUUUCCCGGCAUUUCAAUCAGCUGCUCUGCGUAUAGGUAGCAACACUACUGAAGCAGAUGUGAUCUAAGUGUUUAAUCAAGGUUUACUGUGUCCAACAUGAUAUCAAACUUUGCCAAAAAUCAUCAUCAUGUUUUUAUAGUUCAGUUUUUUUUUUUUCGUGAAUGAGUGAUUUCAUUUAUCGAAGAAGAAAUGGCAGGAACCAAACCCUGCUUACAAGGCUUCAGGGAAAACGAAAACAAAAGGAAGGGAGGCUGUAAAAGCACUUUACAAAUAACCGUUCCUUUUCACCUGCACCUGACAGGCAAAAGAAAUAGGGUCAAGAAGCUUGCUGGUAGUAGAAUAUAAUUCAGUAUGACAUCUAGCUAGCCAAAUGAAGUACAAGUACUUCAAUUAAUUCUUCAGGGUUUAAUUUCUGUACUUUUGAACAGACAUGCGCGACUGUAAUACAGCCAUCAAAUUUCUAUCUUCCUUUACCUUUUUCAAUAUCCAAUGGUGGCUCUCACAUUUUCUUCUUUUACAGUUAUAUCAGCUACUGUACGUGGUAGUGUUAUUAGCAGUCUAUGUCAUUCUGGUACGUUUCACUAAAGGAGAAGGAUUAUUUAGUGGCGAGACAAUGACCCUCUGGGGGAAGAACACGAAGCACAAUGAAAAGAUUGAGGCAUUCAUGGUGAACUGUCACUCUUUUAUUCCAAAGAGGUACUAAUAUUCAGACAUUAAGAAAAUGGACAACUCAUUUAACAACUAGAUUAGAUCAAGGGGGAUUUGGUGGUGUAUACGUAGGGAAGUUUUUAGAAACUGAUGGAGAAGAAUUUAAUAAUGAAUUAAGUUGCAAGCAUCAGUAGAAACUUCCCAUACAAACAUAGUUAAUCUUCUGGUUUUUUGCUAUGAGAGAACUAAAAGAGCCUUAAUCUAUGAAUCCAUGCCCAGUGGAUCUCUUGUAUCUUAUAAAGGAUCCGCUCAAAUAAAAUGUCAUCUAGAAUGGAAUACGUCGCAGUUGGAGUUUCUAGAGGUCUGGAGUACUUACAUAGAGGUUGUAACACUAGGAUUGUUCAUUUUGACAUAAAGCUUCACAACAUUCUUCUUGAUGAAGAUUUUUGUCCAAAGAUCCCUGAUUUGGGUCUGCAAGAGCAAAGAGAGUAACCUUUCAAUGGCGGUUGCAAGAGGGACUGCCGGCACCAGAAGUAUUCUGCGAAACUUUUGAGAAGUUUUUUACAAGUUCGAUGUGUGUAUUUAUGGAAUAAAAUAUAAUUUUAAAAGUAUUUUGAAAAGUGGUUAAAUAAAACUGUCAAACAGAGAUAAUGCUUUUGUCAUCUCUUUCCUGCCAAGUUUUGGUUCAUCAUUUUUCUAAUAAUAACCCUUCUCCAUGCUACCUUUGCCAAUGAUGACGAGCGAUAUUAGUUAUCCUUUCUGGGGAUCCAAUUGGCCUGCAUACUGUGGCUAUCCGAAGUUGGAGCUCAAUUGCAGAAACCAGGAUCUGGAGAUCACAAUCAAGCAAUUGACAUACAAAGUCCUUCACAUACAAAAACCAGUCACGGACUCUCAGCGUUUCCCGGUCAGAUUGUGCAGAAAACAUCUGCCCCACACUCCUCAGCACCACUUGGAUUCCCAAUUUUUUGAACUACACAUCUGAUGAUCAUAGCAUAACGAUCUACUUUGGUUUCCCCACUCAAGGUUAACCAACUUCUGCGCUUUAAACUCAGUUUCCCUGCAACAUAAACACCACUGAGAUGACGGGGGCUACUUUUUACUGAAACGGCCGACUUUUCUGCCCUUGGUAGCUCUGCUUCUAACCUGAUCAGUUAGCUGGCAUCGUGCAACGAUAGCAUUGAAGUUCCAGUGCGUUAAUCAGCUCUUGAGUAAAUUAUAAAUAAUCCAACUGUAACACAGUUGCAGGGAGCUCUAAAUCAAGGUUUUGGGUUGGAGUGGAAGCACGAGAUAACUUAUGUGAUACAUGCCAACUUUCUAGUGGUCAGUUUGGAGACAACCAGACUACUACAGCAGCAUUCACUUGUUAUUGCAAGGAUCAACCUCGACAAUUAAUUUUCUUGCCAAGAAUCCACAACUUAUAAUCAAUCCCCAAGUAUGUCCUCUUCCCUGUUAUUAUUUUUUGGGAAAAUUGUUAGGUAUUAGUUACAAUACUAGUAAAGGUCGGAAUCCUUGAUUAAAAAGAUUUGUGUUAAAUUAGUUUAUUACAAUCUUUGUUGUUUAAUUAGAUAGUUAGAUUACUAGAUAGAUUAGGAUAGUUAAAGGAUUAAUUUCCUUAUAAAUAUAAGGGUUAAGGUAGAAGGAGCAGCAGCUUAAACAGCAACAGUUUUUCAACGUAGCAGUAGAAAAUUUCCAGCAGCAAAAAUAAUAGUAACAGACGAAAUAGCAGCAGUAGUUCUAAACCCAGCAGAAUAUCCAGCGACAGUGUGUUAAAAAAAUAAUUCAGCAGCUGUUUUAACAAAUAAAUUAAUAAUUAUUGUUGUUAUUUAUUUUUAGAUUUCUAUAUAAAAAAAUAAAAAAAUAUAUAUUUAGAAGAAAAUCAAAAAAUAAUAGGAGAAGAAUACGCUGGAGCACCAAAAAAAUAACUAAAAAAAAUUAGUUGAGGAGAUUUAAAAAUAUAAAAAUUAAAAUUUAAUAAUAUAUUUUUUAUUAAAAAAACUGUAUCAACAAAAAAAAAUUCAAUUUGAAAUCUAAAAAUAAUUAAAAUAUCAUCCUUCUCCAUUACAAAACAACAUCUCCACCACAUCUCUUCCUUUCUUCUUCUUUUUUAUGCAUAGUAACCUUUCUUUUCCAUCACCAUCAAUCUCCUUUUCGUGAAUAGCUUCUUUGUCGAACAAACAAAAUUUUAAGUCAUAUACAUACUAUCUCUAAUUUCCUGCAGUACUUAAUAUAGGAUUUGGAUCACUCUUUCUCUCCGUAGUGAAAGAUCUUUUUGGAGCUUAAAACAUGGAUGGAGUUUCCUUGGCUUCACUUCUACAUUAACGACUAGAUUGCUGCUUUCAAUUCCAGAUUCUCUUGAGACGGUUUUUGAAUUGAUUUCUUGUUUCUGGAUUCUUUAUUAGUCCUGGAUUGCAAGGGAAAAAUUGACAGUGGGUGUCAUUUAUCAGUCCACACCUCAGCAUUAGCAUCUUGAUUUGGACAGAAAGACUUCUUUGAGUAAUGAAUGGUAAGGAGAAGGGCCACGCUAAAAAAGAUCAAUUGAUAGGGACGACAUUAAUAAAAUUAUAAAGGUUGAAGGAUCUUUGAACUUGUUAACCCACCCAUUCUAUCUAUACAAGUCUCCCCUAGCUAGCCAAACAAAUCAAAAUUCUCAAGGAAAGAUCCUAGUAACCUUCCAAUUGACUUAAACAACUUUUUAGUGUCAUCAUCCAAAGAUAUUUCCUCGUGACUUCUGUCUUUUGGAAAGAUCGUAGCUCGCUCAUGGAAUCCAGUGAAGAAACAAAUUAUAAAUUCAAAUAUAUUAGACAAUUCUUGAUAAAUAACCCUCUUUUCCCAUCAAAAUAGAAAAGAAAAAAAAUACUAAUUUCACCAUAAUCUCUUAAUUCAUAUUUUUAAGGUAAAUAUGAACUUAUAUCUCACUAAUAUAACCAAGUCAAUAGUCAUGUUCUAUACAACCACUCUCCCAUUACCAACACCAGUACACCAUUAACCUUACACCAUUCCACCACCAGCUGCACAACCCCUUCUGAUUCCUCCACCAAUGCACACCCUCACCACCACCUCCUCUUUCCUUCUCACCCUCUUUCUCUCCCUCCACUUAACGACAUCGCUUCCUUCCAAUGACACUGGUAAUCUUUCAAACUGCAAUCAAAACUUCUCCUGUGGUAUCCUCACAAACGUCACCUACCCUUUCACUGGUGGCCUACGUCCAUCCCACUGCGGCCCACCGGAGUUCGGCCUCACAUGUGAGGAUGAAUCAGUCACCAUCCUAAAAGCUAACUCACUGAGUUACCGAGU